AUUGAACGCUGGCGGCAUGCCUUACACAUGCAAGUCGAACGGUAACGGGUCCUUCGGGAUGCCGACGAGUGGCGAACGGGUGAGUAAUAUAUCGGAACGUGCCCAGUAGUGGGGGAUAACUGCUCGAAAGAGCAGCUAAUACCGCAUACGACCUGAGGGUGAAAGGGGGGGAUCGCAAAACCUCUCGCUAUUGGAGCGACCGAUAUCAGAUUAGCUAGUUGGUGGGGUAAAGGCCUACCAAGGCAACGAUCUGUAGUUGGUCUGAGAGGACGACCAGCCACACUGGGACUGAGACACGGCCCAGACUCCUACGGGAGGCAGCAGUGGGGAAUUUUGGACAAUGGGCGCAAGCCUGAUCCAGCAAUGCCGCGUGCAGGAAGAAGGCCUUCGGGUUGUAAACUGCUUUUGUACGGAACGAAGAGCCCCGGGUUAAUACCCUGGGGUCAUGACGGUACCGUAAGAAUAAGCACCGGCUAACUACGUGCCAGCCGCCGCAGUAA
rnacentral:rRNA from 1 species